GAAGACCCUGCAUGUGUAUGCCUGUGGGUGAGUGAACAAAUAAGGGUGUGUGCAGUGUGUGUGUGUGUGUGUGUGUGUGCGUGCGUGUGUGUGUGCUACAGUGCUUCCCUGGUAGCUGCCAGCUCUUAAAUGAGCCACAUCACCAGAAAGGAGACCUACCACAACUGAGCAUGAUGGCACUGGUGGGCCAAGCUUCUCCUCUAAAUGAGGUGCACAGGCACCAAGGCAAGCCUGGGACCAGACUUUAUCCUGUAUCUCCAACAAAUUCAUUCCAGAACCUGAGGAAGGAAGGAAACAAACAACAGACAAUCUUGAAAAUGGACCUUUUGUGAAAAUGCACAAAUCUGGCACAGAGAUAAUUCUCUUGCCGCAACUUGUACCUGGAGCUCUUUCUUCAUGGAAGGUAUAUAUGUUUGUGUUGUUCUAGAACCAGAGAACCAGAGACAAGAGGGGCCCUUGGAAACACACGGCACCACACCUCCUCCAAAUAUUCCUCAUCUACUCAAACACUACAGUUAGCUUGGAAAUCUGCUGCUCAAAGACCUCCCAGGGGGCCUGGAACUAGCAGCAACACACUGACCAGGAACCACUCUCCAUGUCCCUUAGGUUUCCAGGUCAGCCCCCAGGGAUUUCUCAAUCUCAUCUAACUUUUCAAGGAAAGGUCUCAGAGUCCUCUAAACUUCCUUCUGGUAGCAUGAAAUGCAUAUAUUAGAAAAGAAGGUCUUAAAUCAAUCCUCUAAGUUUCCACUUCAGGAAACUAGGGGAAAAAGAGCAAUUUAAACCUAAAGCAAGCAGAAGAAACUAAGUAAUAAAAAUUAGAGCACAGCUUGA
rnacentral:lncRNA from 1 species